ACUUCCCUGUCUGAUGAAACAUAGGAGAUACGGCUGCUGCAUCAGAUGUUUGUCAGUAGGUGGAAAAGAGGAGAAAGGCUAUAUCGACACUUAGUGUUCCGAUUUAAGAACAUCUCAAUGAUUAGUAGCCUAACAUU
ensembl:snoRNA Gm26291 small nucleolar RNA SNORA17